rnacentral:tRNA from 1 species
CCAGCGUGCGGUCGAGGGCGGCGGCGUCGACCUCGGGAAGGCCGAGGGCCAGCAGCGCGCGGGUCCAGUCGAUGGUCUCGGCGACGCUGGGC